UUCAUAUUUAUUCUACAGAAGUUUACUGAAUCACUGUAUCAGGUGUUGGGGAUACAACAUUACACAAAAUCCCUGCCCCCACAGAGCUGUCUAGUGGGGGAGACAACAAACAAUGAUGGGGCGAUGGAGGGGGAAGGAUGAGUACUUCCCGGGGAGCACCUGGGCAGUCCUGAGCACUGACCAAAGGAGCAACAAGAUCAGAGUUCUGUUUGUAAAAGAUUGCCGAGGCCGGGAAACCAGUUAGGAAGCUAUUCCUGAGUCCCGUCACAAGAUGGCGGCCUGGUCUGGCAGAAGAGAGGCAAGGAAAAGACGAAUGAAUCUGACAUUUAUUUAGAAGGAAGACUGGACAGAUUUGCAGUUAGACUGAAUAUGGAAAGAGGAAAAGUGGGGGAUAGGCUUGCCCAAGGAGGUGAUUGGUGGUACCAUUUUUCAAGAUGGGAACAACGUGGAACUGUCAGAAAUCUAGAAGCGAGGACACCUGAGUCCCGACUGACCUAUUUAGCCCAGUGGCCCCUGUGGGUUCCAGGUAACUAGCCAGCACCUUUCCUUACGCCCCCUUUUACCCCACCCCGCCUAAGCUCCGCUGCAGGUCAGUAACUCUGAUCUCCGGCGCCCACAAGGCUCCGGCACCGGGCUCUCGCUCUCCGAGCCUGACUGCACUUCAGGGCUCCCAGGAGGAAGCGGGGGCCGCCCUCUGGCCACUCUCAGUUCUCUGCCGGGGUCGGGGGUGGGGGGGGGUGGCUGGCUGGCAAUGAAACCUGGGAAAACAUGCCUGGCGUCAGACCUAGCCUUCCGCCCCUAACAGACGCCCAGAGCACCACGCGGCUUCCCCGGAAGGAGGCGCUGUGGCACCACCAACCCACCGGGCAGGAGGCUAACGCCGCAACCAAAGAGCGGAGGUGGGCGUCCCAGGAGCCCCGCCCACGUCCUUUGCUGGGGUCCGCCUUUACUGUGGGGUUCGCCCGCUGAGCUCCUUCAAGCGACCAGCUCAGCACGCACCUCGCCAGGUCAGGGUCUCUGAGAGACUCAGGGUUUUCCCUUUAAGGGUCGGGGGUGCUGUAGGAAGAGCUCGGCGUACAGGAGCAAACCACCUGCUCCAGUUUCUGGUCUGGAGGUUUGGGGUGCGGCCCUGAGAGAGGGCUCCCUGCUUACAGUCCCAGACCAUCCGAGAAUCAUUUGGCCUCGGGGCGCUGAUGGGGAAGAUGGGAAGAAAUCGACUCAGAUUUGAGCCAAGAAAGACGGACAGGAAAGAAAGAAUACGAAGGAAAACGCACGCCACUGCGUGCCCAAGAGCCUUGGGAUAAAUGAAAUCAGACAAUUGUAUUAUUGAAAAAUCGGAGUAAUGAAGAUUUGGGGAGGAGCGCCUGGCACCUGCAUAAAUGUCUGCUGAAUGAACGACAGAGUGGUAGACAGAAUCAGAGAGCGGAGGCUCCUCUUGAAGCGAACGGGCAGAAAGGAGUUAGAAGGGAAUUUCACAGCGUCCUCUGAACCCGGCCUGCGGAUAGCCGGAGGGAAGAUAGGGGCGGUAUUUCGAGGCUGGGUUCGGUGCGAGCUAGGAGAGUGGUUCCACGGAAGGGGCGUGGCCUCAGGGCAUUAAUCCAGUCCCAGUUUCAUUUUGCUACUCCUCAGUCUAAACGGCUGGGCGCGGCCAGUGCGCUUGCCGAGCCUGGUGAGUUCGUUGCCGCGGUGAUGGGCUUGGUGGAGGCUUUCCAGGGGUGAAGAGGCGGGGCGCUGCUGUAGUCGCCAUGGUGAUAGCAGCCGAGGACAGUUUCUGCGCGGAGUGCCUUGGGGACGCGGGAUACCGGUGGGGGUAAGCAGCCGAGUGACGAAACAAAGGAGGUGGGGCCUGAGGAGAGAAUGCUACAGUCAGGGCUAUGGGCGGGGCAAACAAGGGGGCGGGGAGCCAAGUUCUGUUCGCUGAGCAGCUAGACCAGGCGGUGUGGAGUGGAACUAGAGAGCAGCGAUCUUUAACCCGCAUAUAAAUGAAUGAAAGAAAAAAAAAAAAAAAAAAAAGACUUGGUUCCUGAGGGAGUUGGGAUGGCUUGUUGGAUGGAUGAAUGAACGGAUAAGUACCUGGCCCUCACUCCCUUGUGACAGCUGGGAGGGAAACACCUGACCCUCUCGGGGGAGUCGAGCAAAUCCUCAGCCCAAUCACCAAGCCCUGAGCCUACUCCCGCAACUCACACUGAAAGCAGCGCAGGGCGAGCCCGGGCCCAGCCCAGGGCCCACCUCUCCUUCCCAGGUUUCCUGCCCAGGUGUUAAUCCUUCUUUGUCCCAGCCUCCAUCCUCUCUCCCCGUGUACCCAGCUCCUCGGGGGCGCCUGGGCGUCCAGACCUUGCCUGGUGCCCAGUAAGGCAAGGUCCAGAGUUCCAGCAGAUGUGGGGGGUCUGCAUCUCGGCUGUUCUUCUCCUGGGACUGUUGGAACCCUGCUAUAUAGGGAGGCUAACUGUCCUGGUGGAUCCUGGAAGGUGAGGUUCAGAACCAUCCAGCUGGACCUACAGCUUCAUGCUCCACACUCCCCAACCUGUUUGCCCCCUGGGAUGGGACAGAGGAACAGAGUGCCAGUAUCAACUCUCCAGUGUUUGCUAAAGGUGGAGCAUUCUGGAGCUGUGGCCACCUCUUCUCUUUUGACCCCAAUUAUCAGCGUCCAGAAAGGUGAAGUGUGGCUCUGGGAAGCCUCAGUCCCUGGCAGGCCCUGUCACUGAACUGCAACAGAUGCGUGAAAGCGACAAAGGCACGGUGAAGAGGUGUGUAGGGUUUGCCGCAGAAGACAUGGGGAGUGGGCUGUUCCUCACUCCCCCUUGGAACAGCAAGAGCUGAGUAAGGAAAACUGGUGAUACUUAAGGUGAAGCCAUGCAGGUUGGAGAUGGAAAUCUGUAGAAGAGCCAAGUAGGGGAAAUCAGGUACUAGAAAACACUUUGUAAGUGAAAGCUCUGGAGCUCUUAGCAAAGAGGGGGCAACCGUGAGCUCCUACAGUGGCUGCAGGGUUAUGCAGGAAGGACUGGGGCGCAGGCUAGGGAGGCUGCACGUGUGAUACUACUAGACACACUAGCCAAUGGGGAGGCUUGGGGACCCACUACAUGAGGAGAGCUCAGGUUGGGGGCUGGAGGCCUGGGAGAACAGCAGGGAUGGGGAGGGUUAAGUUGGCCGGCUGGAGUCAGGUUCCCCAAAGCCCGGCUCUUUGCAGCUUCAGCUGUCACCACUACCGGCCCCAAGCUCCUGGACACUUGGAAAGUCACACAAUUAGCCAGCCUGUAGAAAAAAUACCUUUUUAUUAAUUAUUAGGAAUAAUCCAUUCACUGAAUGCGGGGUAUAUGUUGGGGAAGGUUAGGUACUGCCAGAUGGAUGAGGGGAAACGUGCAAUAGGGCAGUGAGAAGGGGGACAGCCCCCCACUUUCCACAAACUAUAAAUAGCAACGUGAACACAGAGAAUCACAAAUAAGAAGAGCCUUCCUCAUGUCUCCUCUUAUCCCACUCUUUCAGAAUGAGUCCCACUGUGGUCCCUAGAGGUGCCAGGGCAUCUGGAAGUUCGGGGCCGGGAGCGGGGUGCAGUGCGUGGCCUCGAAGUUGUGCAGAUACUUCUGAGCCUGAAGGAAGAGGGCAGGACAGGUGGGGUGCAGAGCACCGCAGUAUACAGCACCCCCAAACACCUCCACAGCCUCUGAAACCACCUCCCACACCCUACAAGCUGCCACUUCCAAUGCUUACAUGGUAUCCCCUGUCUCCAAGCCCCCUGGCCAUCCCGGCACCCCCUUCCUGCCCGCCACCCCUCAGCUCACCAGAAACAAGGCCAGCUGCCGCCUUCCGUCUGCACUCAUGUCCUCCCCUGUAGAGAAGAGCCGCUCAUGAGCCAUGCAUCUGGGUAUUCAUCCCCCUUCCUGGCUUCUUCCCAACACCCCCUCCUGCCACAGGACGUCCUUACCCACACUCCAGGGGAAGUCAGGCCCGUGCUCUGCCUGGUAGGAGCGGAGGACGGACAGGCACCAGUCCUCCUCCACCUCCCAACGGCUAUAAAUCGAGGCUGCUCAGGGAGAGAAAGGAGGGCUUGUCAGUGACCUGGCCCGGCCAGGCCCCCACCCAAAGGCCUCACCGCAUCCCCCUGCACCUUCCUCCAGCUGUGAGGAGGCUUCCAGCCACUGCCUCACCACUCGAAGACCCUCCUCUGCCAUUACACGGGGAUACCUACAGAGGGAGCACCAGGACGAGAGGUCAGGACCCAAUUCUCUUCACUCCUCAUCCCUAAACCCUCUUUCCUCCCUCCCUUGCCACGCCAGUGUCAGUAAACACAUGCACACACACGCGCACACACUCUCGCUUACCGAUACUGUAGGAGCUUCAGCAGGAGGUCAUUGCCUCGGUUGGACAUGAUGUCCUCAGGAACCCUGGGGGUGAGAACAGUGUACACUGGAGGGGCUGGAGGUUGGGGAGGAAGGGUCUGGAUACCUAGGUUUCUGGUGGGCAGAGGUGGGAAGGGCAACUUCCUAGCUACAUCUGGGAUCUAGGAGGGCAGAGGCUCCCAGGCACUCACGUGGUGGUGAUGAUCUCAUCCUUGGUUCUGCGGAUCAGCAACACAGGGCCCUGGUACCUUCAGAGGACAGUGUGGUGCUCAGAGGGAGAGGGGACAAGUGGCCACCCCACCCUUGCACUGGCUGCAGCCUAACCCCCUACUAUAGCAGGGCCCCACAGGCUAGCCCUUCACUCAGGGGUGAGAAAAUAUUUAAGAACAGGCAUGGCCCACAUUCUGGCCUUACUGGGAGAUCUGCUUGAACACCCAGCAAAGCCUGUACAGUGGGGAAGUGGGGAAGGGAGUUACACGCCGGUUACUGGCCUGCCCUCACCUGCACAGCUGUUCUGCAUUGUUCAGAUUGAGAUGCUGCCUCACGGUCCUGGUCACAAGGCCCCCUAGAGUGGGAUCAGAGUGACGGGAUGGCAGAGACAAAGCCCUUGCACAACAUAUAGUUCCCCACUGUUCACAAAGAAAACUAAGGCCCCAGACAGGGGAGCCCUCCUGCUUUUCAUCCCGUUGGGUGACCCACUCCCCACCUACAUAAAAAGGAACCAUCUCCAGUUAGAAUAGUUCCCAGUUCCAGCCCACCCCUUCCCUGGAAAGGCAGGCCUGGGAGCUGCACUCACUCCAGCUAUCUGGCAUAACCUUCAAGGCCAAGGGCACCAAGUCAUCAAAGGAGGCAUCCAGGAUCACAGCACUAAUGUCUGGGUAGGACAUGGCUGCCCAUGUGGCUGGUACCAGAACAAGGAAGAAAGGUGAGGACCGAGGGGCUCCUGCCCACCACCCCACCUUUGUCCCAUUGACCCUACAGGCUGACACCAUCAUCUCUACUAGGUUAGCCCCAGGUCCCCCUUAACCCCUCACUUCACUUGGCCAGGGCACUGUAUGGAGAAGACGGAGAGAGAAUAUCAAAGUGCAUCGAAGACCACGUGCAGAGGAAAACUUCACUUCCCUGAUCUCCCCGCUCCAGGACCCUGGUCUGCUUCUUUUCAUAAUGGGCAUAAGGUAGAAGGAAAUGUGAACGUAUACAAAUAGGAUACCAUCUUCCAGACA